rnacentral:rRNA from 1 species
UUAAUAAAUUAAAACUUUUAACAACGGAUCUCUUGGUUCUGGCAUCGAUGAAGAACGCAGCGAAAUGCGAUAAGUAAUGUGAAUUGCAGAAUUCAGUGAAUCAUCGAAUCUUUGAACGCACAUUGCGCCCCCUGGUAUUCCGGGGGGCAU